GAGUAUCGAUUCAGUCUCACACAAACCACCCCCGAUGCAUUUUUUUCCGUGGCUAAGCUCAAACGUGCCUAGUUGUUUCGCUUUCCACCGGAAAAUCCCCGAAAUUCGUCCUAAGAAAAAUAACUCCCUCAAUGGCUUCAGCUUUUGUGCAGUUUUUCACUGAUCAAUGCUGAAAAGUGAAGUACUAGUGCAUCUGAACUAUCAAGAGGAAAAAUCAGGGAAAAAAAUUAAGUUGUGUAUGUUCUUUAAGGGUAAAUAAACGACCACCCCGGUGUGUGUCGUUCUUGCGGCCACUCCGGCAGUAUUGAUUUACCCUUCCUUCCCCAACAAUUGCCACUAAAGUGUCUUAUUUCCCUUUUCAUACGAUUUAUCAGCAUUUCAUCAUCGGUCAGUAUGAUUUUCUAACGAAACUAAAAUUGCGAGUAAUCGGCUAAUUAAAUUGAAAUCUAAUUGAUUAAAGUUGUCCGUAAAAAAAGACUUCUCAUGAAAAAUAAAUUUUUCGGACGUUUUGGACUGAAUGAAUAAAUUAAUUCGACCCAACUCUCCGCGGAAUAUAUAGUUUUUGAUUUAAAUUUGUUGUCUUCGCCAUCUAAAUCGCGAAAUAAAUAUAAAAACUCGUCUGCCCCAAUAUGCAGAGAAUCCAGUGUGUAAGGGCAAACUCAUGUUUUUCUUGACUAAAGAGGAAGAAUCUUUGGAUUUCAUUCAGUGAAUAUUACUCAAGUUUUCUCCGAUAAUUAAAGCGAAUUAACAUGUCGUCGAUAUCCGCUCAGGGGGUUGUCGAGAGAGCUAGUGCCGAGUUGACGAAAAGGAUCAACGGAUUGGGCCUCCGAGCUUCUAAACAUCAUGCGUGUUUGUGGCAUUGACUCCGAGAUCCCCGGUAACGUGUAGAGAGAAAUACAUUGGCAGCUACUGGGAUCAACGAGCUAUUCCUCUGUAGAUUCAUUUCCCAUUGUUAUUUUGUGAAUUUUUCUGUUAUUUUUUUAACUUGCUAUCGACGUGUAGUGUGACGACACAAUUUGAACUGCAGCGGAGUCGAUAACGCCGACACUUUUUUAAGGCAACCCCCGCAGAUAAAGGCUUAAGAAUUUUAUCACUGGAGACUGGACAAAUUCGGAGACAGGUCUAAGCCUCCUAACAUUUGUCAAGUGAAAAAUUCCCCCAUUAAAAAAGUGUAAGCGCUCUAUCGAUUAUUCUCACAGCAAAAGGUAAAUGGAGAGAGUUUAAAAAAAACUUUCUCUCUUUAUUAUUUUUAAUUUACCAACCGAGGCUUGUG